AAGGAAAUUAAUAUUGCAAAAUAUAAGUAAUUUUUACGUGUAGGGUAAAAAAUAUUUACCUCAAAGUGGUUUUGUCGGCGCCCGAUGUCUUUCCCAGGUCUCUUCCUCCACUCAGAUUGUCCUCCAACAUACUGAUGGACACGCAAAUACGGUAAUUCGCGCGAUUCUACUCUCGAUGAGUACCAUGUUUUAGGUCCACGGGACGGGGAGUCCCAUUAUGAUUAGAUUUGUUUCCUCAAUAAAGAAACUUGUCGCUCAUUGACCCGAUGAGCAGCAGCUGAGUUAGCUACGUUGAUUCUGUAACAUACAAAUAUAAAAUUCGGUAAAGCAGUGUUCAAGAAAAUUAAUAUUGCAAAAUAUGAAUAAUUUUUACGCGUAGGGUGAAAAAAUAUUUAUCUUAAAGUUGUUUUGUCGGCGCACGACGUCUUUCCUAGGCCUCUUCCUCCACUCAGAUUGUCCUCCGACAUACUGACAGACACGCAAAUACGGUAAUUCGCGCGAUUCUACUCUCGAUGAGUACCAUGUUUUAGGUCCACGGGACGGGGUGUCCCAUUAAGAUUAGAUUCGUUUCCUCAAUAAAGAGACUUGUCGCUCGUUGACCCGAUGGGCAGCAGCUGAGUUAACUACGUUGAUUCUGUAACAUACAAAUAUAAAAUUCAUUAAAGCAGUGUUCAAGAAAAUUAAUAUUGCAAAAUAUAAGUAAUUUUUACGCGUAGGGUAAACAAAUAUUUACCUCAAAGGUGGUUUGUCGGCGCUCGACGUCUUUCCUAGGCCUCUUCCUCCACUCAGAUUGUUCUCCGACAUCGUCACGGAGACGCAAACACGGUUUUUCGUGCGAUUCUACUCUCGAUGAGUACCAUGUUUUAGGUCGACGGGACGGGGUGUCCCAUUAUGAUUAGGUAGAUUCGUUAUCUCAAUAAGAAAGUUCUGACUCACCAACCCGAUGCGCAGCAGCGGAGUUAACUACGUUGAUUCUGUAACAUACAAAUAUAAAAUUCAUUAAAGCA